UCGUCCACCUGCUGGGGACAGAUGAAGUGGAUGUGGGUGUCAAAUCCUCCAGCGGUAAUGAUCUUGUUUUCUCCUGCAAUCACAUCGGUUGAGGAGCCAACUACCAUGCCCGGGGUGACACCGUCCAUGAUAUCGGGGUUUCCAGCCUUACCAAUCCCCACGAUUAUUCCGUCCUUGAUACCAAUAUCAGCCUUGAAGAUACCCGUCCAGUCAAUGAUUAGAGCGUUCGUGACAACCGUGUCCAGACUAUCAUUCGUGGACUUCUCAGAAGACUGGCCCAUGCCGUCACGA
rnacentral:sRNA from 1 species